AUUGGUAUUCACGUUCGAUAACUUGAUGCAUAGCUUGGUUAAAAAUAAAUAAGUAUCCCAUUCGUUAUAUCGUAGUGUCACUGUGUUUCUUUGUUCAAUUUAUUUAUUUGUUAAUGAUUAUGUAAAUAAGAAUAAAUCUGUAUAAAAACUUCA